UUCGCCCUUAGAGUUUGAUCCUGGCUCAGAGCGAACGCUGGCGGCAGGCUUAACACAUGCAAGUCGAGCGGGCCCUUCGGGGUCAGCGGCAGACGUGUGAGUAACGCGUGGGAACGUGCCCUUCGGUUCGGAAUAACUCAGGGAAACUUGAGCUAAUACCGGAUACGCCCUUUUGGGGAAAGGCUUGACUGCCGAAGGAUCGGCCCGCGUCUGAUUAGCUGGUUGGUGAGGUUACGGCUCACCAAGGCGACGAUCAGUAGCUGGUCUGAGAGGAUGAUCAGCCACACUGGGACUGAGACACGGCCCAGACUCCUACGGGAGGCAGCAGAAGGG
rnacentral:rRNA from 1 species